rnacentral:rRNA from 1 species
AGCGAACGCUGGCGGCAGGCUUAACACAUGCAAGUCGAGCGGGCACUUCGGUGUCAGCGGCAGACGGGUGAGUAACACGUGGGAACGUACCCUUUGGUUCGGAAUAACGCUGGGAAACUAGCGCUAAUACCGGAUACGCCCUUUUGGGGAAAGGCUUGCUGCCGAAGGAUCGGCCCGCGUCUGAUUAGCUAGUUGGUGGGGUAAUGGCCUACCAAGGCGACGAUCAGUAGCUGGUCUGAGAGGAUGAUCAGCCACACUGGGACUGAGACACGGCCCAGACUACUACGGGAGGCAGCAGUGGGGAAUAUUGGAAAAUGGGCGCAAGCCUGAUCCAGCCAUGCCGCGUGAGUGAUGAAGGCCUUAGGGUUGUAAAGCUCUUUUGUCCGGGACGAUAAUGACGGUACCGGAAGAAUAAGCCCCGGCUAACUUCGUG